UUUUUUUUUUUUUUUUUUUUUUUUUUGUAUUUCCCCCAUUUUUUCUCAUUUUUCUACCUUUUUUUCUGUAUUUCCUCCCAAUUUUCCCAUCUCUCCCAUUUGUUUUUCCAGGUUUUCCCAUUUUCCCGGGAUUUGCCCCAAUUUCCUGGGGAUUUCUUUGGAAUUCCAAACCCUCAAUUCCCCCUUUUUUCGUUUUGUAUUUCCCCCCCAUUUUUUUUUACUUUCCCCCAGUCUUUUGUAUUUUCCUCACUUUUUUGCCCCCAUUUCUCCUAUUUUUUGGGGGAUUUUCCCAUUUAUUUCCCCCAAUUUCCCAGGGGUUUCUCUGGAAUUCCAAACUCUCAAUCCUCACUGUUAUUCCCCCAUUCUUCCCCUAUUUUUUUUAUUAUUUCCACCAUUUCUCCAAUUUUUUUCCCAGAUUUUCCCAUUUUCCAGGGUUUUCCUUCAAAUUCUCCACGACUGCCAAAUCCUCAACUCCCCCCCCCUUUUUUUCCCCCCCCUUUUUUUUUUUUUUUUUACAUUUCCCCCCCUUUAUUUUUUUUUAUUUUCCCAAUUUGUUCUCAUUUCUCCCUUUUUUUUUUUGUUUUGUUUUGUGCUUUCCCCAUUUUCCCUUAUUUCUCCCGUUUUUGGGGAUUUUCCGUUAUUUCUCCCGUUUUUGGGGAUUUUCCCGUUUUCAUUUUUUGGGACUCUCCCGUUUCCCGGGAUUUCCCGCUGCAGGGUGGACGUGGCUCACCUGCUGCUCUACCACCUCAGCGUCUGCUGCAAGAAGAAAUAUUUCGACCUGGAGCGGGAAAUUCUCCCCUUCGCCAACUCCAACUGGGAGGCGCUGCUGCUCGGCCCGGUGCGGGGAAAACCUGAUCUUGGGGAAAAACCUCAUUUGGGGGGAAAAAAAUCAGAUUUUGGGGGGGAAAAUCAGAUUUUUUUUGGGGGAAAAAAUCAGAUUUUGGGGGAAAAAAAUUUGAUUUUUGGUGAAAAAAUCUGAUUUGGAGGGGGAAAAAAGUCUGAUUUUUGGGGAAAAAAAAACCGGAUUUGGGGGGCAAAAAUCCGAUUUUUUGGGAGGAAUUGACUUUGGAGGGAAAACACUAAUUUGGGGGUAAAAAUUGAUUUUGGGAGGGGAAAACACCAAUUUUG
rnacentral:lncRNA from 1 species